UUGCUUUGGCAGCACAUAGACUAAAAUUGGAAUGUAAGAGAUUAGCAUGGCCCCUGUGCAAGGAUGACAUGAAAUAGGCAUAUGUCCCAUAUUAAA
ensembl:snRNA U6 U6 spliceosomal RNA